CACGUAGGGGGCAAGCGUUGUCCGGAUUUAUUGGGCGUAAAGAGCUCGUAGGUGGUUCGGUAAGUCGGGUGUUUAAACCCCCAGGCUCAACCUGGGGACGCCACUCGAUACUGCUGUGACUAGAGUCCGGUAGGGGAGCGUGGAAUUCCGUGGUGUAGCGGUGAAAUGCGUAGAGAUCCGGAGGAACACCGAAGGCGAAGGCGAGUGUCCUGGCGAGUGACUGACGCUGAGGUGCGAAAGCCAGGGGAGCGAACGGG
rnacentral:rRNA from 1 species